rnacentral:lncRNA from 1 species
CGGGGCGGGGCGGGGCGGGGCUGGGACCCGGGGCCGCAGGGGCGGGGAAGGAGGCCGCAGGCUCCGGGGUGCCCUGGCUCAGCGCAGAAAGGACGCCGCGCACAGGUACAGCCCAGGCCGCCCGGGAGCCGCGGUGGGCCGCGGUGGGACUGCGUUUCUCCACCUGUCUGCGGUCCCGGCAGAUGCUCCCGCGAAACUCACUUUCUCACCUGCGCCUGUCACGCCCUGGGCGCCCACAGCUUCCCCCUCCUUCCCGUUCUCUCAACCUGCGCUGGCCGGAGGACCGUUUUCACACUCAGAGCUCCCAGAAAGAUCCCGGGAAGGCUCACUGUCUUCUGCAGGGAAAGUGCAGCUGUAACUGGCCCCAUCCCUACUUUCAGGUACACUAUUGGGGCACCUGGCCGCGCGGCGUGGACUCUGCACGCCUGGGACAGGGAAAAAGUACACCGGAGUACCGCUCAGUCUUUGCACAGCAGGGACCGGGCUUUUUAUUCUGGGAACCUUCCGAGGGAUUGGCGAGGGCUCUUCUCAGCAUUUGAGGGAAGAUCCCAUCUCGUCACACACUGCUUUGCUCGAGGGUGCACAGUGGCCCGCACUCCUGGGUCUCCCAGCCCUGGAGGAUCUGGCCUCAACCCCGAGAAAAGAUUCUUUCUCUCCCAUUUACCAUUAUUUUGUAAUUUAAACGCGUCCCUGACGAUUACUCAUCUCAUACCUAGCAGUACGGCAACGGACGUUUGCUUAAGUGAAAAAUGAAAUUGCGACCAUCUUCCAACCCAAAAUGGCAAUCUCAUGGGGGCAAACUAUAAUCUGUGCUCUCUUUAGACGGGAGCGGUCAGUGGAGACUUGGGAUUGGUGUUACCUGACUGCCAGAUCAUCUUCCUUUCCUUCCACCUUCUGUUCUUUUGACAAAUACGCCCAGUGUCUUUAUAUGUCCAGUGCUCUCCAACAAAAGCAAGGAUUCUGCUUUGGAUCACAUUGCCUCAUCACAACCUACAGCAUGUCAUCUUCUCUUGCAGCAUUAGAGAGAGAAAUCAGCCUUCGACUUUGACAAUAUUAAACUACAUUACAUUGAAAUUUAACAUAGAACAAACAAAAUGGGAUCCAAGGUGGUGGGUGGCUGAAGGGUGAAUUAUGGGAAGGAGCGAUACAGUCUAAGUAAUACAGCAAAAGCAGCUAAAAUUAUGAGUGGAUUUGAAUCUCCCCAUUUUUAGUACCACUUGUUGGGAAAGGCAGCAACUCUUUGUCAAAGGUUUUCACCUUAUCUGGUACCUCCAGCAGCUAGAUCCAGGAUGGGGCUACCCACCCCUCCACACUCCUAAAGUGGGUAUACCCCUCCAGUGCUUCAGGACAACUUUGCCAGUUUUCUCUACCCAGUCCUCCGAAAGCCUCAGAGCCUGCUCAGACCAGAGGGCUUAGCUGUAUGUACAGUACUAAAGUUUAGAAUGUUGCCUCUUUACAGAGAUACCCUCAGAUUCAUUCUGUAAAGGGAGUCCCAGUGAUUAACUGUGUCUACUUAUAUGAAAUGAUAAGAAGAAAAAUGUUCAGGAAAAUUACUGGAAUUUCUUUUUUAAAAUACUAACCAUAUGAUAAUGUGUUUGUGUGUGUGUGUGUGUGUGUGUGUGUGUAAGUCAUACAGACACUACGUGAAAAUCUGGCAAUUAUCCAAUUGAACAGAUCAUUGGAAACAAAAACCACGAUCAGUUAAGGCCCUAAGUGAACUUUUUGCCUUAAUUUUAAGUAAAUCUGUUUGCCUAACAAAAUAAUGUGAAAGUUAUUUGUGCUUCUAUUCAAAAAUAGGAAGUCUAAAUAGGCCUAUAGCAAGUAAAUAAAUUUAAUCAGUAAUAAAAAAACUUCCAACAUAAAGAAAACACAUGAUGAGAUAGCUUCAUGAGUGAUUUAUACCAAACGUUUAAAGAAGAAUAAAUGCCAGUUCUUCUCAAACGUAUGGUAUGUGGUGAAAGCAGAGGAGGGGAAAAGCUGUCAAUAUUCUAAAUUUGCUAUUUGUAAUUAUUAUAACUAAUCUGAGCUCAUGAGACUAGUGUUUUAGAAAAGCAGCUCUAGGCAGGAAAAUAGGUAAAAAUGGAGAAUGAUCUUUUAAAAUAGUGAUUUGUAAGAUGUUUAUUUUUUAUAUACUCUUUAAGAAAUUUUUGUAAGCUAUCAACUGUCUCCCAGGGGGAAAAAUGCCCAUGAAUACGCUAAUGUAAAAAUUUCUGCUUACAGUUUAACAGACUGUAAGUAAAAAAACCUGAAAAAGUUUAUUCUGUUUUAAGGAAAAAAAUAAAAACACAUGAUGUCUGAAAGAAGAUUCUUUGAAGUUCCCAAAUUACAGGGUCUUCAUGACUGGAGGCACAAGAGUAAAGGGGAAAGGAAAAGGAAUUUGGAGUCAGGUACAUUUGCACUCAUUCUCUUUGUGCUUCUGGGCAUUUAACCUUUCUGUGCCUGUUUCCUUCUCUCAAAAUUGGAAAAAAAUAGUACAUAUCUAUAGUAGAUUUUGUGGGUGUUCUGCUCAGAUCCCCUUGGAUUUCUUCCACAUUUUCUGAGCACCCCUCACCCUGUUUUUGCCUCCUUUGGUUUCCAAUACCAGCCCCAAGACCACCACCUGAGAGCUCCUGGGACUUUUCUUUGGAGGAACUGCCCUUAGCUACCAGACCACCAUUGCCCAUAGGCAGAUAGAGCCUAGGUGCCCCUGAGUAGCACUUAGCCAAUGACUGAUGGUUGAGAACCUUGAUCUCAUGUUGGAUAAAUCUGAGGUACAACUUACAACCAGAGCUCCUCUAUGGGAUCGGACUGAAACCAUCUCCCACUAGACCAUUCCUAAAAUCCCAUCUGUGUUGGCUUCUUGCCCUCCUCUGUCCUGCUACCCCUACUCCCUUUCCUGUUUCUCCUGGCAACACUUUCUUUAAAUUGCUUUUGUAGAAAAAUACUUGACUCAAGUCCUGCUGACAUAAGACAUCACAUUAUAGAGUUGAUAUAAGCAUCAAAUGAAACAUUAUAAAGAAGAAACUAGUCCAGUGCCUGAAACAGAGUAAGCCUUCAAUAAAACAUAUCUAAUCUUUUUAUUCUGAAACUUUAGAUCUCUUUUAGUUCACAUAAGCAAGGAAAAAAAAUUUCUCUCUUUCACUGCAGAAGAAUUUUGAGGAACAUCUCCUUGCCUAGAUUAUUUCUGGGCAUAGUAUUAUCUGGAGUGAUCAUAUACUAUGAAAUUUUCUUCUGUGAAAGUUCAUGUCUCUCCUAAUUUGUUUUUCUGUUCACCAAAAUUAUUUUAUAAAUACGGCAAGUACUUUGCUUUCUGUUAAUGAAUUUCAUUUUGUUUCUUUCAAAUAAAAGUAAAGUGAGGUUAUGAACCUAACAGCAGAGCCCCAAAAUACACGAAGCAAUAAAUACCAUUUUUUGAUAAAGGUACUAACACCAUUCAGUGGAAAAAGAUAUAUAGCCUUUUCAAUUAUAUAACCACAUCUAAAAGAAUGAGUUUGGAACCCUACUUCACACUAUAUACAAAAAUAAAAAUGGUUCAAAGACCUAAAUAUAAGAGCUAAAACUGUACAACUCUUGGACUAAAACCUUGCCUUAAGUCUUUAUCACCUGGGAUUAGGCAAAGGUUUAUUGAAUGUGAUACAAAAAGUACAAGCAAUAAAAGAAAAAAGGUAGAUAAACUGAACUCCACCAAAAUGCGUGCAUCAAAAAACACUAUCAAGAAAAUGAAAAGACAACACACAAUGGACAAAUAUUUUAAAAUCGUCCAUCAGAAUAUAUAAAGAACUCUUACAACUCAACAAUCAAAAGACAAUAGCCCAAUUUAAAAACAUGUAAAAGAUUUAAAUAGACAUUUCUCCAGAUAAGAUAUAUAAAUGGCUAAUAAGCACAUAAAAUGCUCAAUAUCAUUUUCAUUAGGAAAAUGCAAAUCAAAACCACAAUAAGGUAUCACUUCACACCCACUAUAAUUUUUUAAAAAUGAUAAUGAGGUUGUGGAGAAAUUGGGACCUUCAUACAUUGCUGGUAGGAAUGUAAAAUGAUACCACCACUGUGGAAAAUAGUUUCACAGUUCCUCAAAAAGUUAAACAUAUGAUCCAGUAAUUCUGUUCCUAGGUAGAUACUCAAGAGAAUUGAAACAUAAAUUCAUACACAAAGCUUGUGUAAAAAUGUUUAUAGCAACAUUAUGCAUAAAAGUUAAAAAGUCAACACAACCAAAAUGUUCAUCAGCUGUUCUAUACAUAAACGCAAUGUGGUAUAUCCAUACAAGGGAAUAUUAUGCAGUCAUUAAAAAACAGUGAAGCUGAGGCUGACGGAUUGCUUGAGCUCAGGAGUUUGGGACCAGCCCGGGCAACAUGUCAAAACCCCAUCUCUACUGAAAAAUACAAAAAUUAGCUGGGCAUGGUGGUGCAUGUCUGUAAUCCCAGCUACUCAGGUGGCUGAGCUGAGAUCGCAGCCACUGCACUCUAGCCUGGGCAACAGAGCAAGAUUUUGUUUCAAAAAAAUAAAACGAAACAAAACAGUGAAGCAAUGAUACAUGCUUCAAUAUGUAUGAACCUUAAAAACAUCAUGUCAAGUGAAAUAAGCCAGAUAUAAAAGGCUACAUAUUGUGUGAUCCAUUUACAUGUAAUGUCCAGGAUAAGCACAUCCAUAGAGACAGAAAGUAGAUUAAUGGGUUUGCCAGGGGUUAGAAGUAGGGGAAAUGAGAUGUGACUCCCUAAUGUGUAUGGGGUUUCUUUUUUGGAUGACAAAAAUGUUUUGGAUAGUGAUGAUGGUUGUACAAUAUUAUGACUGUACUAGAAGCCACUGAGCUGUACACUUCAAGACGGUUAUAAUGAUGACUUCUGUGUGAAUUUUGCCUCAAUAAAGUAAAUUUUUUUUAAAUAAGAAAGGCCAGAUUUUUUUUGCAAUGGAGUCUUGCUCUGCUGCCCAAGCUGGAGUGCAGUGGUGAGAUCUCGGCUCACUGCAACCUCUGCUUCCCGGGUUCAAGCAAUUAUCCUGCUUCAGCCUCCUGAGUAGCUGAGACUACAGGCACACACUACUGCACCCAGCUAAUUUUGUAUUUUUAGUAGAGAUGGGGUUUCACCAUGUUGGCCAGGCUGGUCUUGACCUCCUGACCUCAAGUUAUCCACCCCCACUCGGCCUCCCAAAGUGCUGGGAUUACAGGUGUGGGCCACUGCACCCAACCAGAUUAUUUUUAAAAAUUAAGAAUCUGCUUACCAGGUAAGAAUUACUACUUAGUCCAAAACUUUGCUGUGGAAGAAAUUUAUAAAAUUUCGACAAAUUUUCCAGGCUUGUUCUUAAAAUAUGAACUAUCAGUUUUCCUGUUAUCAUAUAAACAUCAACAGAUUAGGUCUGCAUUCCUUCUUCAAGUCUAAUUUCCUCCUCCUUCAAUCUUGGUUGUGCCAUAUGUUUUUCCUUAUUGCAUGUAGGAUAAUAGAGAAGUAACGGGGGAAAUGGAAAAUGAAGAGGAGAGAUGAAGAAAAGGAAGGAUCAAUAAAUGGCUGAGAGGAUUGAGGGAGUCAAUUAAAAAAGAGAGAAAGGUAAAUAAAAUAUAUUCAGUUGGUUAUGAUUUAGGAGACCGAGUUGAUGGGUCCAGUUUCUGUGUGGGCAGAACCAUUCUUUUUUCCAUAACUGCAUACCAAUGUAAAAGACAAAUUAAUUUGGGGAAAAUCCAGGAAAGGAAUCCCAGUUGGUCAGGGAUCGGAGUCAGAAAGGUAGUAUGUGGUUGGAAAUGGGGAGAGUGACAGGUACUAAUGUUAUUGAAAGGAAGAAUCAGUAUAGCCUGGCGACAAAUGGGGAGGUCUUGCAUGGAAAGAAAAAGUUAUUUCCUAGAUUGCAAUCUUUAGGAAGUAUCAAGAAAAAUAAAAAGUACUUUCUAUGUAAUUAAUUUCUCAGUUGGUUGUUUUGACUUUAUACCAGAACUCACUAUCAGCACUGACAAUCACAAUUGUCAGACAAUUUCCUGAACAACUAUCUCUUCUAUCUCCAUCAUUCUAAAGAUAGACAUGUCUUUUAAGCCCAAGACAGGAACUUCAGCUUGAAUUGGGGCCCAGAGCUGGCAAUUUAACCCUGAACCAGAAGUGUCUUUAAUGAGAAUGUGUGCUGUUGAAACCCGUUUAGGUUUGUAAACAUUUCCUUCGAUUUUCCUUAGGGCUGUGAUGAGAUAUUCUUCUUCCCUUGUACCUCUUCAUACAAUAAACCUUAAUGAGUGACGGAUUCAAAUAGGCUCAUUUCUUAUUUGAUAUGUGAUUUUGAAAAGUAAAAGUGUUAGGAUAGAGAGUGUAAAGGAGCUUAUUACAUUACUCUCUUUUUUUAAAUAUAUAUAUAUUUUUUAUUAUACUUUAAGUUCUGGGGUACAUGUGCACAACAUGCAGGUAACAGAGAAUACUUGGACACAGGAAGGGAACGUUACAUUACUCUCUUUUUAAAAAAGUUAUUUCAAAAUAAAAAUUUUGAAGCUGAGUUUUUUUUAAUUGUUAGUAAAAGUUAACUUAUGAUUGUUUGUAAAUAGAAGAUAUUUAUAUAAUUCUAGGGAUGCAAAUAUAAUCAUAAAAUAUGUUAAAGCUUGGGAAAUGUAUGUUUAU